GAUGAACGCUGGCGGCGUGCCUAAUACAUGCAAGUCGAGCGAACGGACGAGAAGCUUGCUUCUCUGAUGUUAGCGGCGGACGGGUGAGUAACACGUGGAUAACCUACCUAUAAGACUGGGAUAACUUCGGGAAACCGGAGCUAAUACCGGAUAAUAUUUUGAACCGCAUGGUUCAAAAGUGAAAGACGGUCUUGCUGUCACUUAUAGAUGGAUCCGCGCUGCAUUAGCUAGUUGGUAAGGUAACGGCUUACCAAGGCAACGAUGCAUAGCCGACCUGAGAGGGUGAUCGGCCACCCUGGAGCUGAGACACGGUCCAGACUCCUACGGGAGGCAGCAGUAGGGAAUCUUCCGCAAUGGGCGAAAGCCUGACGGAGCAACGCCGCGUGAGUGAUGAAGGUCUUCGGAUCGUAAAACUCUGUUAUUAGGGAAGAACAUAUGUGUAAGUAACUGUGCACAUCUUGACGGUACCUAAUCAGAAAGCCACGGCUAACUACGUG
rnacentral:rRNA from 1 species